GCCUUCGUAGUGUGGUGGUCAGUACACUCGAUGCGUAAUCGAGAGGUCCGUGGUUCAAUUCCCGGCGAAGGCG
rnacentral:tRNA from 1 species